rnacentral:rRNA from 1 species
AACGAACGCUGGCGGCAUGCCUAACACAUGCAAGUCGAACGAGAUCUUCGGAUCUAGUGGCGCACGGGUGAGUAACGCGUGGGAAUCUGCCCCUUGCUUCGGAAUAACAGUGAGAAAUUACUGCUAAUACCGGAUGAUGUCUCCGGACCAAAGAUUUAUCGGCAAGGGAUGAGCCCGCGUAGGAUUAGGUAGUUGGUGGGGUAAUGGCCUACCAAGCCGACGAUCCUUAGCUGGUCUGAGAGGAUGAUCAGCCACACUGGGACUGAGACACGGCCCAGACUCCUACGGGAGGCAGCAGUGGGGAAUAUUGGACAAUGGGCGAAAGCCUGAUCCAGCAAUGCCGCGUGAGUGAUGAAGGCCUUAGGGUUGUAAAGCUCUUUUACCAGGGAUGAUAAUGACAGUACCUGGAGAAUAAGCUCCGGCUAACUCCGUG